rnacentral:rRNA from 1 species
GAUGAACGCUGGCGGCGUGCCUAAUACAUGCAAGUCGAGCGAACAGAUGAGGAGCUUGCUCCUCUGACGUUAGCGGCGGACGGGUGAGUAACACGUGGAUAACCUACCUAUAAGACUGGGAUAACUUCGGGAAACCGGAGCUAAUACCGGAUAAUAUAUUGAACCGCAUGGUUCAAUAGUGAAAGACGGUUGCUGUCACUUAUAGAUGGAUCCGCGCCGCAUUAGCUAGUUGGUAAGGUAACGGCUUACCAAGGCAACGAUGCGUAGCCGACCUGAGAGGGUGAUCGGCCACACUGGAACUGAGACACGGUCCAGACUCCUACGGGAGGCAGCAGUAGGGAAUCUUCCGCGAUGGGCGAAAGCCUGACGGAGCAACGCCGCGUGAGUGAUGAAGGUCUUCGGAUCGUAAAACUCUGUUAUUAGGGAAGAACAAAUGUGUAAGUAACUAUGCACGUCUUGACGGUACCUAAUCAGAAAGCCACGGCUAACUACG